rnacentral:lncRNA from 1 species
AAGAUUGAUUUCCUUGUGUUGGAAAUUAUCAUACCAUCAGUAGAAACUCAAGAACCUCAAAUAAAUUAACAACAGAAUAUAUAUAAUUGUAAUAGUAGAUCUCCACACAUCUUUUGAUAUUUAAUGAGACAAUUGCACAUAAACAUUUAUUGCAUCCAAAAAUUAACGCAUCAAAACAAAACAAAAAAGAUUAUUAAACAUCACACGAAUUAACCAACAGGGCCUCGAGGUUCAUUUAUUAAAACUGUUGACCCGAAAGUUUCUUCAUUUGCGGUGGAAGGAAGUAAUAAUGGUGAGAACAGCCAUGGUUGUAAAUCCUGCUAAAAGAGGAGUUGUUGCUAAAGUACCCCUGUCAAAGAAUUUUUUGCUCUCGGUCCUUAACUCUUCGAAUGUAUCAAUCCCUGAUGUUUCAAUAGUAGUAGGGGACAUGGUUGUAAAUCCUGCUAAAAGAGGAGUUGUUGCUAAAGUACCCCUGUCAAAGAAUUUUUUGCUCUCGGUCCUUAACUCUUCGAAUGUAUCAAUCCCUGAUGUUUCAAUAGUAUCCACAAAUCCAUUUAUGUAACGUUUGAGUUCA